UGCCUCAGUAACGGCGAGUGAAGCGGCAAAAGCUCAAAUUUGAAAUCCCCCCGGGGAGUUGUAAUUUGAAGAUUGCGUCUUGGAGGCGACCGUGUCUAUGUUCCUUGGAACAGGACGUCACAGAGGGUGAGAAUCCCGUGCGGCACGGCCCCCGGCUCCUUAUAAGGCGCUCUCGACGAGUCGAGUUGUUUGGGAAUGCAGCUCAAAGUGGGUGGUAAAUUCCAUCUAAAGCUAAAUACAGGCGAGAGACCGAUAGCGAACAAGUACAGUGAUGGAAAGAUGAAAAGCACUUUGAAAAGAGAGUGAAACAGCACGUGAAAUUGUUGAAAGGGAAGGGCAUGCCGUCAGAUUGUCAGUGUGGGUAAGAAGCGGGGUACAAAGACUGUGGAACGUGGCCCUCGGGUGUUAUAGCCGCAGUUCAUGCCCCGUCUCUUUCCGAGGCCUGCUUUGAGGACACCGACGUAAUGACGGUACGCCGC
rnacentral:rRNA from 1 species